rnacentral:rRNA from 1 species
UAGAGCGGCGGACGGGUGAGUAACACGUGGACAAUCUGCCCCCCGGCCCGGGAUAGCCCAGGGAAACCUGGAUUAAUACCGGAUGAGACGGGACCCGCGAUGGCGGGACCCGGGAAAGGCGCUGCGGCGCCGCCGGGGGAUGAGUCUGCGUCCCAUUAGCUAGACGCGGGGUAACGGCCCACCGUGGCGACGAUGGGUAGCCGGCCUGAGAGGGUGGACGGCCACAUUGGAACUGAGACACGGUCCAGACUCCUACGGGAGGCAGCAGCUAAGAAUCUUCCGCAAUGGGCGAAAGCCUGACGGAGCGAACCGCCGCGUGAACGAAGAAGGCCGUGAGGUUGUAAAGUUCUUUUCGGGAGGGGGAACAACCGUGGCAGGGAAUGGGCCGCGGGAUGACGUGAAUCCCGGAAUAAGCCCCGGCUAACUACGUGCCAGCCGCCGC